GAAAGAGAUGCCGAUCUCGCUUGUGUUUUACUCGACAGAUGCCUGUAAUCCCUCAGUCCAGCCCGGCAGCAUGGUAAUGCAAGUGUGAAGUGAAAGAAAAAAGAAAGCGAGUGAGAGAGAAGAGAAACUGCCAGCAGCUGCUCAUUAGCUAUGGAGCCGAUUUCUCACUCGACACCCCCCGUGACUCCACCCACAUUCUGCUACCAUGGCGGUUACCAUGCCGACACCAAAGGUCCCAUCUUAGAGGUUCAGUCAACCCUACUAGGAUGCUUUAGGGAAUGAGGGAACAGAAUCCAGGACAGGAGAGAAGAUGAGAAAGCAAAUACUUGGAUGGGUGAUAUCUAUUCAGCCAGACUCUGAAAAUGAUAAACAGAGCCAUGUUAACCUUCCCAUCUCUGAAGUUUCCUGUUGCCUUAGGAGAGAGACACUGACAGACUGACACCAUCUCAAGUCAAACAGCUGUUGUUGUAACUAAUCCUGCUUAUCUCUGCACUUCCCAGUUUGCAGGACACAGGAGCUAAUGGGAGCUGACCUGCCAUUCACAACCCAGCAGGAUUCUGGGAACGCGCGUGAACACAGACGCUCUCCGUGUUACCCGCCGCCGUCAAUCUCUCUUACCUGUCGCAUCUGUCACAUCAGAGCGAGAGAAAGAGAGAGGGUCAGUAAGAGAACGACAUCCGAGAGACAACACGAGGUAAACAGAUCAGGAUGCGCUCCCCUGAGACGCUUUUAAGACCCCCGUGAGAACGAGACCAGUUAUCCAGAAGGACCUCAACACUUAACACACAUUUCCUGUGCAUCUCCUCCCCCAACAAACAUGUCCUUGUUGUUUCAGAUGGGAAGGUGACCUCACUUCUGCUGUGCUCUGGUUCCCACUGCUGUCAUAGAGGGAAAGAUAAAUGAAACAUCACUAUUACACACACAUUUCAUGAAUGUAAUGCAGGCAGAUUUCCAUAAAUAGACCAACCAAACCCACACAGAAUCCUCUCUGGGUCAUGUUUGUGGACUGUAAAUCACAGAAUAACGAGGCAGCAGUGAAACAAAUAGCGACUUUAUGAGAUAAAGUUAAGUAAGUUGAAUUUGAUUGGAGCUUCAGUCAUAAUGUUGACUCAGGGCAUUAAUGUUUAAUGGCAGCAUAAAUAUUAACGAGUGUACAAGCACAAAUGAGCAAAGCAGCAGGUCACGGGGUUUAUUACCGCCGUGGGGAGCGAUCGGCAGGUAUUCACCGAAUCUAAGGAGAACAGCACAUCUAACAUGGCCACUGGGCGGCUUUCUGCCCUCUGUUUGUCAUGACGCUGAGGAGCAAACACACUCACACACUCAUACCAACACACACACGCACAUACACGACUCCUUAACGCUGGAUGACAUUAACAUGCUGGCUGCAUAGGUUACUUCCAGCAGGCUCUUUGUGUAUCGCUGCUGUGCUGUUAGCGGUUGUUUGUUGUGUGUGUGUACAUGCGUAUACAGCAAAGAACAAAGUUAAACAUACACAGUCCUGUAUAUACUCUCUGAUUUACAUUCUAGGAGAAAAACACAGCUGAAACUCAAAAUCCAAAGAGCUAAAAUGCACAAGGGUGAUUUUUGAAGCAAAAAACAGGGGGAAAAAUACAUCCUAGAUAAAAAAAAAAAUGUGUGGAGACUGAUCAAAUAGGCUUUUUAGGUUGAAUGUACUGCCGACCCACGUGGGCACUGAGUGUUUGUGUAUGAUUGGAAUAUUAAAAGCAGGAAAGAGUGGGACAGAAUCAGUGUUCCUAUUCAGAGUGUCCUUAUGUUUACUGAUCCCUAUACACUCAUGAGUUUCAUGUAAGUUACAUAUAUUUGUGUGUGUGUGUGUGUGUGUGUGUGUG